GGAUGUGAGGUUGAAAUGCCUGUGACAUCUGCCACCCAUUGAUUCCAAGAUUGAUUUAGCUGAUCUGGUUGGCUAGAUUGGUGUCCCCUCCCUCCCUCACUGUUCCAUGUGCAUCCCACUUGGUGGAAGAAGACAACCAUCCAAGAUAGAAAGAGCAUAAUGUUCUUUGGUCUAAGAUAUGCAAUACCUUUGUUCUUCUGCUAGAACAUCUAAACAAGCUCAAGGCCCAUUUGAAUGAUAUGUAGACAGAAAAAGGAAACUGGC
rnacentral:snRNA from 1 species